rnacentral:rRNA from 1 species
GUGAGUAACACGUGGAUAACCUACCUAUAAGACUGGGAUAACUUCGGGAAACCGGAGCUAAUACCGGAUAAUAUAUUGAACCGCAUGGUUCAAUAGUGAAAGACGGUUUUGCUGCCACUUAUAGAUGGAUCCGCGCCGCAUUAGCUAGUUGGUAAGGUAACGGCUUACCAAGGCAACGAUGCGUAGCCGACCUGAGAGGGUGAUCGGCCACACUGGGACUGAGACACGGUCCAG